rnacentral:misc_RNA from 1 species
UGUAGGAGCUGCCGAAGGCUGCGAUCUUUUGAUUUGUUUUUUCAAGAUCAAAAGAUCGCAGCCUUCGGCAGCUCCUACA